UAAUCCAUAGUUUAAAUAAAAAUAUUAUAAUUGCAUUAUAAAGAUAAAUUUUUUUUUGGAUUUA
rnacentral:tRNA from 1 species